CGCGCAGGCGGUUCCGUUAGUCGGACGUGAAAGCUCCCGGCUUAACUGGGAGAGGCCGUUCGAAACUGCGGGACUUGAGGUUGGGAGAGGGGUGUGGAAUUCCCGGUGUAGUGGUGGAAUGCGUAGAUAUCGGGAGGAACACCAGUGGCGAAGGCGGCACCCUGGCCCACACCUGACGCUGAAGUGCGAAAGCGUGGGGAGCAAACA
rnacentral:rRNA from 1 species